rnacentral:lncRNA from 1 species
UAAUGACAUUCUUUUAGAAGAGAAGAGACCGCGGGAAAAUGAUGUCACUUCCUGUUUGGCGAACGUGUGUGGUGAAGGGUUGGCGCGGAGCUGGUGGAAGUAUGCUAGGAGAACAUUUUAAAACGCUGUCUACAAGAACAUUGGGAAUUGCUCAUUAACUGUACAUGUCAUUAUAAGUUACCCGCGUAUUAGCAUGGGUGUCAGAUCCUGAAGUCCGCUCUGUGGUGUUUGGCUCAUCUUACAGUUAUAUAUCCGCCUGUUGUCGUUAGCUCACAGCUGACUCAAAUGGAUUUAAUGGAUGAACUUUAUGGAGAUCUUGAUGACAAGCCUUUUGGUGCUCUGCAUCACAUUGAGGAUUCGGUAUACUCUGGCCUGGAAAACAGCCCUAAGAUUGAUGGGCACAGAGGUGGGUUUCAUUAAUGAGUCUUGAAUUGGUUACAGCACAUAGUUUUUAU